rnacentral:rRNA from 1 species
GACGAACCGAGCGAACGUUGUUCGGAAUCACUGGGCUUAAAGGGCGCGUAGGCGGGUGCUCAAGUCCGGGGUGAAAUCCCACAGCUCAACUGUGGAACUGCCUCGGAUACUGGGUGUCUCGAGGGUGGCAGGGGUAUGCGGAACUAUCGGUGGAGCGGUGAAAUGCGUUGAUAUCGAUAGGAACUCCGGUGGCGUAGGCGGCAUACUGGUCCACUUCUGACGCUGAGGCGCGAAAGCCAGGGGAGCAAACGGG